CUUUGAUGUUUGACGGGGGGAGCAAAGAGAGAGACUUGGUUUCACAAUGCUGUGCUGUGUUGAGAGGCGACGGGGGGAGAGGGAGAGAGAGAGAGACUGCAGCCCCCUUCCACCAUCCGUGCCUUGGAUUUUACAUUUUUCCCCAAAACUUUUUUGUAUGUGUGCGUGUGUUUGUGUGUGCGUGCAACGGCCACAGCUGAGAUUACACUUACCGUCCGACAGCGUGUGUUUGACAGCUACAGGAUGUCACCUCUGACCCCAUGGGUGUCCCCCUGCAGUCUCCCCCGCCCUUCCAAUGCUGGUGUCCAACACACUCCCCCCACUCAAGCUUCCCUCCCCACCCGUCCCAGGUCAAAUCCAGUUUUUAACAUUUUUUUAUUUAUUUAUUAGCAUUAACUUUAUUUCAAAGUAAUUAUUUUGCAUACUAUUCUUAUAACUAAUGAAUUGUCCUCUUUGCAAUGUAGACAGCAUAUAAAUUCCCCCCCUCUCCCUUUUGUUUGUUUUUGAUUUUCAACCCAGGAGGUACUUAGACAAAAUGGUACAUGCUGUAAUCACCCCCUUUUUUUUGUUUUUUUUUUGGUUUAUUUAUCUUAUCUAAAUGUCUAUUUUAAGUAUGUAUUUGCCUUUUUUUCUGAGGGUCAGGGGGAUUAUCUAACAAAAAUGCGUAUGGAUUAUUUGUUAUUUGUGAAUUUUCUUUGAGUUCGACUUUAAUCUAUGGCUGAAAGAACUGGAAAAUGGUAUCUCAGUUACACAGUUUUUCUGUUAGGCUUUUUUUUUUUUGUUGUUGUUGUUGUGCGAUCACCAGAGGGACCUUCCAUCCUCUCUGCUCUGCAAGCUCCAUUUCCUUUUCUCUCAGUAUCAAAGAACUGAUGUUUCCAAUACUCUUUUUUUUUUUUUCUCCUGCGAUCUCGCCAUGUAUUUGUACUGUCUUUAAAGAAUCUUUUGUAUAUGUAUUUGCAAUAAAAAAAGAAAAUGCUAUUAAAAAAAAAAA